UACGGAGGGGGCUAGCGUUGUUCGGAAUCACUGGGCGUAAAGCGCACGUAGGCGGAUGUGUCAGUCAGGGGUGAAAUCCCGGGGCUCAACCUCGGAACUGCCUUUGAUACAGCACGUCUCGAGUCCGGAAGAGGUGGGUGGAAUUCCUAGUGUAGAGGUGAAAUUCGUAGAUAUUAGGAAGAACACCAGUGGCGAAGGCGGCUCACUGGCCCGGUACUGACGCUGAGGCGCGAAAGCGUGGGGAGCAAACAGG
rnacentral:rRNA from 1 species